GCUUCUUGGUUAAACAGCUAGAGUCUCUAAUCUGACAUAUCGUCCGAGCCUUUUGAUUUUGAAAAUAUACUGUCACGUGAAAUAUAGGUGAUGUUUAAUUUAUUCAAGGUAGAGUUCCAUAAACUGUUUGUAUGGCUGGGAGACUGAAAGUCGAUAUUUAGCGAAAUGUUCAUCUUUCAAACAGCAGUCCAGGCCCUGCCCUUGGUUACCUUGUUUAAUUAUACUCAUAAAACAGCUAGGGAGUGACUAUUAAGACCAUACACACUUACUGGCUUUGCAAGAACGUGGGAUUGUCUUUUCUUGACCAUAUAAAAUAAAUGUACGAUAAAUUUCUCCCUCAUUGUAAUUAAAAUUAAAAUAGAGACAAUAGCUCAACAAGGCCUUUUUAAUUUCAUAGCCCUGUACCACCAUUAAGUCCACCUCAACUUUCUGUGACCUAUUUUUCUCCUAGGCUUAGUGCAAAGAUUAUUUUUUAAAGACAGCCACAGAAUGAAGUUUGAAGAAAGCCUCUGUUAGGGCAAUUAGGCACUCUCAUUUUUCAAGUUAAUUACAGCUUAUGUUAUCUUCUCCUGGAAAGUUACUGUUUGCCUCUUGCCUGUAUGCUUAGAAUGUUGUAAAACAAUAUAGUGACCCCACAAGUUGAUUCACAGGGGUGGGCUAGCACAUCUCUCCAGCCUUCUGAUUACAAUACCUUAAUAAAUCCUACUGCACAGAGCCACACUCACUUCAGAGCCAGGGUGUCUGUGGUUUCUGCGUGAAGUUGUAAUGCAAUUAUGAAG
rnacentral:lncRNA from 1 species